GGAAGGGGUGUAUUUAUUAGAUAAAAAACCAAUGCCCUUCGGGGCUCCUUGGUGAAUCAUAAUAACUUAACGAAUCGCAUGGCCUUGCGCCGGCGAUGGUUCAUUCAAAUUUCUGCCCUAUCAACUUUCGAUGGUAGGAUAGUGGCCUACCAUGGUGGCAACGGGUAACGGGGAAUUAGGGUUCGAUUCCGGAGAGGGAGCCUGAGAAACGGCUACCACAUCCAAGGAAGGCAGCAGGCGCGCAAAUUACCCAAUCCCGACACGGGGAGGUAGUGACAAUAAAUACUGAUACGGGGCUCUUUUGGGUCUCGUAAUUGGAAUGAGUACAAUCUAAAUCCCUUAACGAGGAACAAUUGGAGGGCAAGUCUGGUGCCAGCAGCCGCGGUAAUUCCGGCUCCAAUAGCGUAUAUUAAAGUUGUUGCAGUUAAAAAGCUCGUAGUUGAACCUUGGGUCUGGCUGGCCGGUCCGCCUCACCGCGAGUACUGGUCCGGCUGGACCUUUCCUUCUGGGGAAUCUCAUGGCCUUCACUGGCUGUGGGGGGAACCAGGACUUUUAC
rnacentral:rRNA from 1 species